GGGGGCUUCAGCUGAAAAAGCUUGCGGGCUGAAAGCAGGAAUCCUCUGAAGGCUUGCGAAGUACAGGUCAAAACCACACAUUUGAUAGCAGGAGGAUGAAACUCACUUUGUAAUAAGAGCAUGCAAGACAGAAGGGAGAUUGAGUUGCAGUUGUUUUUAGAAAAUAAAAUCUGUAAAUCAAA